rnacentral:rRNA from 1 species
AGAGUUUGAUCUGGCUCAGAUUGAACGCUGGCGGCAGGCUUAACACAUGCAAGUCGAGCGGUAACAGGGGUAGCUUGCUACCUGCUGACGAGCGGCGGACGGGUGAGUAACGCGUAGGAAUCUACCCAGUAGCGGGGGAUAGCCCGGGGAAACCCGGAUUAAUACCGCAUACGCCCCACGGGGGAAAGCAGGGGAUCUUUGGACCUCGCGCUAUUGGAUGAGCCUGCGUCGGAUUAGCUAGUUGGUGGGGUAAAGGCCUACCAAGGCGACGAUCCGUAGCUGGUCUGAGAGGAUGAUCAGCCACACCGGGACUGAGACACGGCCCGGACUCCUACGGGAGGCAGCAGUGGGGAAUAUUGGACAAUGGGGGCAACCCUGAUCCGGCCAUGCCGCGUGUGUGAAGAAGGCUUUCGGGUUGUAAAGCACUUUCAGUGGGGAGGAAAUGGUCAUGGUUAAUACCUGUGACAAUUGACGUUACCCACAGAAGAAGCACCGGCUAACUCCGUGCCAGCAGCCGCGGUAAUACGGAGGGUGUAAGCGUUAAUCGGAAUUACUGGGCGUAAAGCGCGCGUAGGCGGUCUGGUCAGUUGGGUGUGAAAUCCCCGGGCUUAACCUGGGAACUGCAUCCAAUACUGCCAGGCUGGAGUAUGGGAGAGGGUAGUGGAAUUCCACGUGUAGCGGUGAAAUGCGUAGAUAUGUGGAGGAACACCCGUGGCGAAGGCGACUGCCUGGCCCAAUACUGACGCUGAGGUGCGAAAGCGUGGGUAGCGAACAGGAUUAGAUACCCUGGUAGUCCACGCCGUAAACGAUGUCAACUAGCCGUUGGAGGACUUGAUCUUUUAGUGGCGAAACAAAAGCGAUAAGUGCGCCGCCUGGGGAGUACGGCCGCAAGGCUAAAACUCAAAGGAAUUGACGGGGGCUCACACAAGCGGUGGAGCAUGUGGAUUAAUUCGAAGCAACGCGAAGAACCUUACCUGGGUUGAACUACGGCGGAUGCCCUCGGUGAAAGUCGAGUAAGCUGCCUUCGGGUGAAACGUCGAUAGGUGCUGCAUGGCUGUCGUCAGCUCGUGCUGUGAAGUGUCGGGUUAAGUCCCUUAACGAGCGAAACCCUUAUCGUUAGUUACCAGCGGGUUAAGCCGGGAACUCUAGCGAGACUGCCGGCGUUAAGCCGGAGGAAGGCGGGGACGACGUCAAGCCAUCAUGGCCUUUAUGUCCAGGGUGUCACACGUGCUACAAUGGGGUGUACAGAGCGACGCGAGACCGUGAGGUGGAGCAAAUCGCACAAAACAUCCCUCAGUUCGGAUUGAGGUCUGCAACUCGACCUCAUGAAGCUGGAAUCGCUAGUAAUCGCGUAUCAGCCAUGACGCGGUGAAUAUGUUCCUGAGCCUUGUACACACCGCCCGUCAAGUCAUGGAAGCUGGGAGUUCCCGAAGUCGCCACAUUUCGGUGGUGCCGACGGAAAGCCUGGUGACUGGGACUAAGUCGUAACAAGGUA